AAGACAAAGGACUUUUGCUGAUCCUGACUCUGCCUGAUCCUGAGGUCAACAGGAAGCUGAUCUGGUCUUCACAAAUAUGUGAUUAGGUGAUCCCGAAGUAUUGGAAACUGGAGGAUGGUCAUCAAUGGCAAAAGGACUGAACAAGUUGUGGUAUAUGAUUGUUUUGGAAUACUAUUGUACUUUACAGAAAGAGGAGGGAAAUAGUUUCAGAAAAACCUGGGAAGACAUCUGAAUGGAGGCCUAAUGAAGUGAACUCCACCUUGAGAACAUCACCUGCAGUAACAAGAUUGCAAUGCUGAUCAAUAGUAAAGACUUAGAUACUUUCAGCAAUUCAAUGAUCUAUGACAAUUCCAAAGGACACCUGAUGAAAAAUGUUAUUCUCAGGACUCAUGAAUUCUAAGUAUGGGUUUUUUUUUUGGUUUUUUUUUGUUUUGUUUUGUUUUUUGCUUUUUUCCUGAGACAAUUCGGGUUAAGUGACUGGCCAACCUAGGAAGUGUUGUGUCAGAGACCAGAAUUGAAUUCAGUUCCUCCUGACUUCAAGGCUGGUGUUCUAUCGACUGCACUAUCUAACUGCCCUGAAGAUAUCUUAUUUUUUCUUUGUUUUGUGGAACAUAGAUAAUAUGGAUGUAUGAUUUGCAUGACUUCAAAAGUAUAAUGGGCAUCAUAUUGUUUGCCUUCUAAAUGAUGAUUUAAAGGAUUAAGGAUGGAAAAAUUGAAACUCAAAAUAAAAUAAAAUAAAUAUUAAAAGGUAAACAAUCAAUGAUUUCAGAAAGGCCUGGAGAGACUUACAUGAACUGAUGCUGAGUGAAACAAGCAGGGCCAGGAGUUCCUUAUAUACUUCAACAACAAUACUAUCUGAUAAUCAAUUCUGAUGGACCUGGCCAUCUUCAGCAAUGAGAUGAACCAAAUCA
rnacentral:lncRNA from 1 species